rnacentral:rRNA from 1 species
UACGUAGGGGCAGCGUUGUCCGGAAUUAUUGGGCGUAAGAGCGUGUAGGCGGUCCGGUAAGUCGGUUGUGAAAGUCCAGGGCUCAACCUUUGAAAAGCCGGAUGGAUACUGCGGAGCUAGAGUACGGAAGAGGCGAGUGGAAUUCCUGGUGGUAGCGGGUGGAAUGCGCAGAUAUCAGGAGGAACACCAAUAGCGAAGGCAGCUCGCUGGGACGUUACUGACACUGAGGCGCGAAAGCGUGGGGAGCGAACAGG